CGCAGCGCUGCCUGGAGGGGCGGCCGCGGCCAUUUUUGUGCCCUGCUGGGGAGCGCAGUUGGAAGGGGACCUUGUUUCCAGACCAGGAGUGAUGUGGACUCUUGGGUUUGUGGGACAGCUGGCCAAAGGCAGGAAAAUCUGAGCUGGUCCCAUGGAGCUGGUUCACAGCCUACGUAUCUGGACAGAGCUUGUCAGGUCUUAGAGCCUUUUCCCCAUCAUCCCACAGCCAGAAGCCAUCCGGCAUCAAGCAGUCAGAAGAAUCUGGCCAUUUUACUUUGAGUCACAGAAUCAACCUCUGGGCCUUAGGCGGGAAGGAUGCCUCUAGUGAAUUCUGACUCCUGUGUCUUGCAUCCCAAGUUACUUCUUGUAGGAAAUCCAUCAUGAGAAACCCCAUGGGAAAGAGAAAAUUCCUCGCAGAAACUACCAGCGGUAGGUAAUGUGAAGAUGCUUUCCCUGAACAAAGAUGGCUGCUCCAGAGGGGAUCUUCUUUCAGAGCUGGAGCUUAAAGUGGAGGUUUUACAACACUGGACCCAAUCUCAGCAGCAGCAGCACUGUGCUAUAAGCCAAAGGAAGACUGCGGAGAUCUUCUCCAGUUCCCUCAUGUCCUCUCUUCUCAAACCCACGUAAUACUGCAUAGCCACUCUGAAAGAGCAGCCCAGCAUCCUGCAAGACUGUGUAAUUCCCAGCUGACCCUGCUUGGCAAACCACUCCCUGUGGGCUAUGAGGGCCAUAUUGAGGAUGCGUGGCUACAUUUGGAUGGCUCACAGAAUUUGUUUUGCUGCCAUGUAUUUCAAAGAAGUGCCACAGCCUACUGAAGUGGAACUGCUGCCAGCAUGGGACCAAGUUAGACUCCACCUGGUCAGGUGCUGAGGUGUUGGCUGAGCUGCUGGUAGGAAAGGCUGCUUUUGCUGAAAGAACUGGGAGUUAACUGGAGAUCUCCCAUGCACUUAGCAAAGGAUAAUUUAACCUCUGUGUCCUUGCAAGGAGGAAACUUGCAAGUGCGAACACUGAGACAUGCAGAGCUGUUACGCUCUGCUGACUUGGAACUGCAUUGAUCAGUUUGUACUAGCUGCAGAUCUGGUGAGGAAACUUUAAGUACAGCAGAUUGAUUGCUACCAAGGGACAAAUUCCCCAUAGCUAGUUGGAUUCAAGCUCUAAAGUAGUGGCAUAUUGAUCUCUUUGUGGUGAUUUAUUAGUAGUAGCCCUGUACCCCAAACUCUCCAGCACAGUUAUAUGAGUCAAAAAGUAUACUAUUGCUAGCUUAACUCAUUAUUUGUCAGAGUACUGCACAACCUCUACAUAAAGCCCCACACUGCCAGGGCAGCCCACAGUGGGGCUGGAGGAAGCAGAGAGGCACUUAAUGAUCACAAGGCAGCCACCAUAUCUUCAGUCCAUGGACUCCAAAUGGGCCCUCUGCCCUUUGUCAUGCACUGUUUGGUGUCCCCCUGGCUGAGGAAUGCUGCCCUCUGCACAAGGCUGCAGGGGUAAGGAUCCCAUCCCCUAAUCUGACUUGUUCAGGAGGGAGAACAGGAUGUUGGAAGAGCAGAGCUCUCACUGAAAGACUGAACCACAGAUCUGUGCAUUGUGAAUGCUUUGCCGUGGACAUGCCCCUGCUGUGAACCCCAUCCAUAAACUGUGCUUGUCUUGGAGACAGUUCCAGAGAGUUAUAAGGGUUUUAUUCAGCUGCCCAAAUGGGAAGAGCUGAGAAAGCCUAUGACCAUCCUGCCACCCAAGAUGUUCUGCCACCUCUGGGCUCUGCUUGACUUUUACUACAUAUUUUUCCUUUAAUUUUCCCUAAUUUUCUAUUUCAUUUUGCUGAAGUGAAUACGUUUCUGAUGCCUGAAGCAGCUGCUGAUGUAUUAAGCUCAAGAAAAGCUGAGAUGUUUUAGGUUGAUUUUUCUCCCCUGUCUCCGUCAGAGCUCUCCAGACCUGAAGAAGGCAGGAAAGACAAAUACGUGCUGGCUCUUUACCCACCACAGUCUGGUGAUAGUAUGAAGGGAAAUCUUUGGCAGUUGAAGUUAAUAGCCAAGAUAUGCGUGGUUGAAAAAGUAGCAAGCAUCUGCUCCAGGGAUUAACCUGCAGCAGAAUUUGGAUAGUGGGGACGCUGGAGUGUUAAAUCAUCCCCACGUGAAUCAUUGCUGUUCAGCUGGCAGCAGCCUCAGGCACACACCGUGCAUCAGCUGCAAGUGGCACACAUUUGUAUUACUUUAUUUGCAACUAAUGAAAUAGCUAGGAACAUUUAUUGCAUAUAAAUUAUAUAUGAGCACCCAUCGUACAAAUAAACUCUCUCCAGUCUCAGCUUUCCA